GUGCCUCAGGGAUGCAGAGCUCAGACCCUAACCUGCCCUCUGCCACCCACCUAGUCUCCUUCCAGCAGGUGCAGCUGGGAGGUCACCCUGGGCUUCUCUCCACCAGCGGGGAAGCAGAACCAUGCUGGGUCCCCUCGCCUUCCUGUGCGCCCUCCUGUUUCCCGGUGGCGUGGCAGCGAUCAGUGUGGAGCAGCCAGCCGUGGUGGUGGCACGUGCAGGCAGCUGGGCCACGCUGCCUUGCAAAGCCAGCACCUCGGUCAGCUACAUCCACUGGUACCGCCACCAGGAGGGUACAGCCCCCAAGAGGAUCCUCAUGCUGGAUAUGUCCAGCUCAUAUGUGACCAGAGAUGGUGUCUUGACAGCAGACAAGGUCCACGCCAAGAAAGGCAAGGAUAGCACAAGCUCUAACCUGUUGCUGCUGAAGCUGGCGAAGAGCGAUGAGGGCGUGUAUUACUGUGCUGUUUGGGAAGAUGGAUGGUAUAGCUGGGACCACAAAGUGUUUGGUCCUGGCACACUGCUCAGGGUUACAGAUAAAAAUCCUGAUGAAGACAUUUUCCCCAAGCCCACGAUUUUUCUUCCUUCAGCUGAUGAAGUAAAACUCCAUAAUACUGGAACAUAUCUUUGUCUUCUUGAGGACUUUUACCCUGACGUUAUCAAGAUAGAUUGGAAAGAAAAGAAUGGCAAAACAAUUCUGAAAUCCCAGCAGGGUGACACCAUGAAGGCUAAGGACACAUACAUGAAAUACACGUGGCUGACCGUGCCUAAAAAGUCAAUGGAUAAAGAACACAAAUGUACCGUCAAACACGAGAAUAAUAAAGGAGGGGUUAAUCGAGAGAUACUGUUUCCUUCAAUAAACAAAGGUUUGGCGGAGGCCAGAAGAUCCGAAGUGGACCCCCAGAGGCAUUCAGAGACAAGGCGAAACACAGGGGUGGUCACUGUGAGCCCUUUGAGUUCACUGUCCUCCUCACCGGUUUCAAGGGCUGAGGAGCUUGUCACUAUUAACUACACAAAAGCUUCUCUGAAGGAUGAAAAUGACCCCCGGCAGGUGCAGCUUGCGAACACCUCUGCCUACUACACGUACGUCGUCCUCAUUGUCAAGAGCAUGGUCUACACCGUCAUCAUUGCCAUCUGUCUGCUUGGGAGACCAGCACUCUGUGACAAUGGGAAGAGUUCCUAACCCAUGGUGGCACCAAGGGUCCACUUUACUCCUUGACUAUUGUCACUAAAAGAGUCUGUUGAGGAUCUGGAGGGGCUUUCUCUCUGCGUUUGGGUUAUUUCAGUUCACAUGUUUCUUUUUCUAUGUGUCAUCAUUGCAGAACAGGUUUACAAACCGCUAGGCAGACAGGAAAUGUCACUCUGCAUGGAGAACAAUUUCUACCAUGACUCAGGGGCGGGGCCAGGGGAACCCACGGGGGCAUCAGCACCGCUCUCUCCUUCAUGUCCACCAGCCCGUCAGCCACUCAGCACCCUCGCCUCUGAGUACAGCCGGCGUGCAGCUUCCAUAGAGGCCCCUGGGGCUCUGUAUCCAGAUAACUGCCUGGAGGCCUUUUAUUUUACAUUUCUGGAAGUCUUCCUCCUUGCUACCUGAACUUUGUGCUAUUUUUCAUAACAGGCCUAAUAAAAGCAAUCACAAGUCUA